rnacentral:sRNA from 1 species
UCUUCUAAAAAUUUAUUAUUCCAAUGCC